rnacentral:rRNA from 1 species
UACGUAGGGGACAAGCGUUGUCCGGAAUUACUGGGCGUAAAGAGCUCGUAGGUGGUUUGUCGCGUUGUUCGUGAAAACUCACAGCUUAACUGUGGGCGUGCGGGCGAUACGGGCAGACUUGAGUACUGCAGGGGAGACUGGAAUUCCUGGUGUAGCGGUGGAAUGCGCAGAUAUCAGGAGGAACACCGGUGGCGAAGGCGGGUCUCUGGGCAGUAACUGACGCUGAGGAGCGAAAGCGUGGGGAGCGAACAGG